rnacentral:rRNA from 1 species
UACGUAGGGUGCAAGCGUUAAUCGGAAUUACUGGGCGUAAAGCGUGCGCAGGCGGUGAUGUAAGACAGGUGUGAAAUCCCCGGGCUUAACCUGGGAACUGCAUUUGUGACUGCAUCGCUGGAGUGCGGCAGAGGGGGAUGGAAUUCCGCGUGUAGCAGUGAAAUGCGUAGAUAUGCGGAGGAACACCGAUGGCGAAGGCAAUCCCCUGGGCCUGCACUGACGCUGAUGUGCGAAAGCGUGGGGAGCAAACAGG